GGCCUUUAAGACAGGAGAUCAGACGACAGAUCUACCGGAGAGUUUUCUGUGAGAUGAUGUCACCUAGAAAUAUCAGAAGCAACAACCAUAAAAUCUUCCCAUCAUGCCUACCUGAAAAUGAAGUUCUGCAAUAAUAGACAUGAGGAAGUAGACAGGGGAAUGCUCGGGAGGCCUCAACCCUACACAAAGAACUGUGGGCAACAGAGAAAUGCUGAAACAGGAUAAAUUGUCUUCCCCAGGGAAGAGCACACCAAUUUGUUAUCCAAAAUGCAAUGCUAUGUUUAAGAUUUGCUUCAGAAAACAAUGUGUUUACUGAAAAUAAGACAAGAGAUCAUAGAACAGAAGGCCGGUGAGGAAGCCCAGGCAUGUGUACAGAUGCUAUCUAGGAUUGCAUCUGAAGUCUGCCUUAGAGUGGGGGCACGCAAGUGUCUCCAAGUGAAAAAGUACAGUUUUGAAAUCAGAUAAUUGAAGCAUAAAUCGAAUGAGAAGCUGACUGCACCCAGUUUCACUACUGCAGUGUACAUAUGUGUAACAUGUUUUGACAAGAUAGGUCAAACCCUGCAAUGCUCAUCAUCGUAUAUGCAACACCCAAAGAACUGAGAUCUCAUGAUUCUUCAACUUCUGCACAUGGAGGUGCUUUCUAAUGUUGUAUGGCCAACUCACUCAGUCUAAAUGUUCUGGUAAAUGUAUUUUGGCUGAACUGAAAACUCUUAACUUCAUUGACAAUAUGUUGGAAUUCAUUUUCAGACACCUAAUUGUACUUGACUCAGAGUCUAUUAUUGUGAUAUGCAGAUUUAAUUAAAACCCAUUCUUUUCUGCAAAGUC
rnacentral:lncRNA from 1 species